rnacentral:rRNA from 1 species
UAAGGAAUAUUGGACAAUGGCCGCAAGGCUGAUCCAGCCAUCCAGCGUGCAGGAAGAAGGCCCUAUGGGUUGUAAACUGCUUUUAUCAGGGAAGAAACCUUUCGAUUUAUCGGAAACUGACGGUACCUGAAGAAUAAGCACCGGCUAACUCCGUGCCAGCAGCCGCGGUAAUACGGAGGGUGCGAGCGUUAUCCGGAAUUACUGGGUUUAAAGGGUGCGUAGGCGGCUAUGUAAGUCAGGAGUGAAAGUUUGCGGCUCAACCGUAAAAUUGCUUUUGAUACUGCAUGGCUGGAAUUAGGAUGAGGUCAGCGGAAUGUGGCAUGUAGCGGUGAAAUGCAUAGAUAUGCCAUAGAACACCAAUUGCGAAGGCAGCUGGCUAGACCUGGAUUGACGCUGAGGCACGAAAGCGUGGGGAGCGAACAG